GAUGAAGAACGCAGCGAAAUGCGAUAAGUAGUGUGAAUUGCAGAAUUCCGUGAAUCAUCGAAUCUUUGAACGCACAUUGCGCCUCCUGGCAGUCCGGGAGGCAUGCCUGUUCGAGCGUCACCAAAUCCAACUCAAGCGGUUUUGCGCUUGGUCGUGGCGGAAGAGUCGGUCUGGUUGCCGUCUCCCCUCCGAAAAUCAACGGCGGAAAGUCACUGGCAGUCAGCGUAGUAGUAUCGUUCGCCGAACAUCCAGUGGCAUUCCUGCCGACGUACCCCCACAAUUCUCGUGAUUGACCUCGGAUCAGGUAGGGAUACCCGCUGAACUUAAGCAUAUCAAUAAGCGGAGGA
rnacentral:misc_RNA from 1 species